GCCCCGCUCUCUGCUGCUGUCCAGAUUUAUAAGAGCCACAGAUCUUCAGCACUGGUUUGGCACAAGACUUCCAGAGCAGGACAUGUAAGCCACAAUAUUUAGCCAGUAUCCAGGGCAGCUCACAGCUUUGCUCCUUGUGAGAUUUAACGAAGAUGAUGGUCUUAAAAUGGUUUUACCACAAGAAAACUUCCCCACAAGGAAUAUUGUGUCUUCCCCUGAGGCCUCACACUGCCAAUCUGAGGAGUUUACAACUAAAUGAUAUAUCCAGAGGGUUUACCACAGAUCAUGGGGAGACAAUACAGAGAAGAGCCAACAUAUAACUCUAAGGAUAGACUGAUGGACUACAAACCACACUGAAUUUAUCCUCACCUGAUGAAAGGUCUUGAGAUGGCCAGGACGGUCCGGAUGAACCACGUCGGGUGAGCAAUGAUGAGACA